rnacentral:rRNA from 1 species
UACGAGGGGGGCGAGCGUUGUUCGGAAUUAUUGGGCGUAAAGGGCGCGUAGGCGGUGCGGUAAGUCACCUGUGAAAUCCCCGGGCUCAACCUGGGAAUGGCAGUGGAAACUAGGAGACUUGAAUCUGGCAGAGGGGGGUGGAAUUCCACGUGUAGCAGUGAAAUGCGUAGAGAUGUGGAGGAACACCGAUGGCGAAGGCAGCCCCCUGGGCUGAGAUUGACGCUCAGGCACGAAAGCGUGGGGAGCAAACAGG